CCUCACAUAUCAAAGGAGAAAUAAAAGUGCACGCUCCGAUUUUAGCUUCAGUCAAGUCUCCUUGGCAAUCCCCAAACAUUUUACUUAUCCUCACUUGCAUCUUCUUUCAUUUUAGAGCCAAAUCAUAACUGAAACACUUGGUCUCGAAAUCUUCGUGCUAAGGAGAUGGGCCCACCAAGAAGGACACCACGGGGACCAUUGCCACCACCUGUAGGUAGAAGGGAAAAUUUGAAACCACACACA
rnacentral:lncRNA from 1 species